GAGAGAGAGGAUGGGUGGGAGAACACAAGGGAACUACAGAUGCUUCACGAUGCAUCAGCCAUGGGCUUCUUUGCUUGUGUAUGGCAUCAAGCGCAUAAAAGGAAGAUCAUGGCCCGCUCCUAUCAGAGGCUGACUUUGGAUUCAUGCUGCUAGUAAGGUGCCAGAUCCAGCUACAAUUAAAGCAAUAGAGGACUUCUACAGGGAGAUCUAUGCUGUGAAUGGAAUAACUGAACUGAAGUUUCCAGAACAUUAUCCAGUUUCCUGACUUCUAGGACUUCUAGGUUGUGUUGUGUUAAAUGUGAAGAACUGGUAUGCUGGGAGGAGCUGCCUGAAGGAAGGUGAGGCUAGAAGGACAAACAGACUUCUGCUGGUUGUGUGAAAAUCCAGAGAAACUAGUAAUUCCAUUUGAGAUGAGAGGGUAUCAAGGUGUUUAUAACUUGGAAAAAAAGAUUUAUGAGGCAGCAGUCCGAGGUCUUUGUCCAGUUGAAGGUCUGCUACCAGUAAGGUUUCCACUUCCAGAUCCCCGAGAUCCUUUCUCCCUGAAUCCAGGAUCACUUGCCCUUUCCUUUACUGGCUCUAAGUCAUCUGAAGAGAAAUCACCAAGUCUCACCGUGGCCAUAGCUGGUGCACGAUCUUCAGCUCUGCUGUUCUCAAAGAAGGAUCAGAAAUCUCCAACAAAUAUAGCCCUGGAAAAAGAUAUACCUUAUUCCACAAGAAGUAAAUCAAAGAACCAAAUUAUAGAACAGGAGGGUAGUCCAUCUGGUAAUUUAGGUGAAUCUUGUAAGGGCUUUUUGCCACAAACUUAC